rnacentral:rRNA from 1 species
UACCGAGGGUGCGAACGUUGCCCGGAAUUACUGGGCGUAAAGCGCGUGUAGGCGGGUCGGCAAGUCAGGCGUGAAAUCCCCAGGCUCAACCUGGGAACUGCGCUUGAAACUGCCGGUCUUGAGUAUCGGAGAGGGUGGCGGAAUUCCUGGUGUAGAGGUGAAAUUCGUAGAUAUCAGGAGGAACACCGGUGGCGAAGGCGGCCACCUGGACGAUUACUGACGCUGAGACGCGAAAGCGUGGGGAGCAAACAGG